rnacentral:rRNA from 1 species
AUUGAACGCUGGCGGCAGGCCUAACACAUGCAAGUCGAGCGGAUGAGGAAAGCUUGCUCUCUGAUUUAGCGGCGGACGGGUGAGUAAUGCCUAGGAAUCUGCCUGGUAGUGGGGGAUAACGUUCCGAAAGGAACGCUAAUACCGCAUACGUCCUACGGGAGAAAGCAGAGGACCUUCGGGCCUUGCCCUAUCAGAUGAGCCUAGGUGGGAUUAGCUAGUUGGGGAGGUAAUGGAUCACCAAGGCGACGAUCCGUAACUGGUCUGAGAGGAUGAUCAGUCACACUGGAACUGAGACACGGUCCAGACUCCUACGGGAGGCAGCAGUGGGGAAUAUUGGACAAUGGGCGAAAGCCUGAUCCAGCCAUGCCGCGUGUGUGAAGAAGGUCUUCGGAUUGUAAAGCACUUUAAGUUGGGAGGAAGGGUUGUAGAUUAAUACUCUGCAAUUUUGACGUUACCAACAGAAUAAGCACCGGCUAACUUCGUGCCAGCAGCCGCCGUAACAC